rnacentral:rRNA from 1 species
ACGGAAGGCAGCAGUGAGGAAUAUUGGUCAAUGGACGGAAGUCUGAACCAGCCAAGUCGCGUGAAGGAUGAAGGUAUUAUGUAUUGUAAACUUCUUUAGCAGUGGAGUAAUAAGGGGAUCGUGAUCCCCGAUGCAAGUACACUGAGAAUAAGGAUCGGCUAACUCCGUGCCAGCAGCCGCGGUAAUACGGAGGAUCCGAGCGUCAUCCGGAUUUAUUGGGUUUAAAGGGUGCGCAGGCGGCUUUUUAAGUCAGUGGUUGAAUCGUGACGCUCAACGUCAUCACGCCAUUGAUACUGGAGAGCUUGAUUGCGGUCGAGGUUUGCGGAAUUCGUUGUGUAGCGGUGAAAUGCAUAGAUAUGACGAAGAACACCGAUUGCGUAGGCAGCAGACCAGGCCGUAAAUGACGCUCAUGCACGAAAGUGCGGGGAUCGAACAGGAUUAGAUACCCUGGUA